rnacentral:lncRNA from 1 species
AUGCUGGUGUCUGGAGGCAGGCGGUGGGGCGUGCUCAGAUCGUGCCAUGACAGAAGCAGCGUGCAAACACGUGGCGCUGUGCCGUGCAAUGCACAUCUGACGGGCAGGUCCUGUGGACCCAGCACAGCGAGAGUCCCUCUGCAGGAGUGGGGGGCAGGGGCUCCCCUCCCGCCAAUGUCUGCAGAUCCCCAAGCCUCUUUCAUGACGCUGUGGGCUCUGCCACAGCCCCACCACCUCCCAGCAAUCCAGACCAUCCCUGAACUUCCCCGCAGCCUUUGCUCUCAAGGAGGCCGUGCCCUUCUCCCGACCGAGGGGAGAGCAGGUACACACACACACACACACACACACACCGUUACUCCCUUGUUCUGGGCCCUUUUUCCUCCCUCACAAAGGCCCCAACUCCUCUUCUUUGUCUUUCAUGGACAAACUUCUGGAAGUAGCCGGCUCGUGGCCUCUCCGUCACUCAGUGUGCUGGGCACCUGCCACGCUGCUCAGAUUACGCCGAGGGCUCUCGGGUCCUGGUCAUCCUCUGUCGCCAGCCCUGCUGCAGCUGUUGCCCGGCUCCCCGGCGGCUGCCAGCCUGUCCCCAUGGGCAUUCCCUGCCCUGCCAAGGCCGGGGUGGGGCCAGGCAGCGUGCUCAGGCCGCUGCCCCUCUCCACAGAGCUCUGUUUCACUCCCAUGGAAGUCCGUUCACAGCUCUGCUCUCACCCAGCUCUCUCCUUGGCCACUUUGGUUUGUGAUAUUCAGAAUCUUUUUUGCGAAAGAUUUAUUUAUUUGAAAGGUAGAGUUACAGAGAGAGAGGGAGAGGGAGGGAGAGAGAUCUGCCAUCUGCUGGUUCACUCCCCAAAGGGCUGCAACGGGCAGGGCUGGACCAGGCUGAAGCCGGAAGCCUACAACUCUGUUUCUCCCUUGGGGGUGACAGGGGCCCAAGGACUUGGGCCAUCUUCUACUGCUUUUCCAGGUGCAUUAACAGGGGGCUGCUCACAAGAAGAAGUGGAACAGGCAGGACUUGAACUGGUGCUUAUAUGGCACGGUGGCAUUGCAGGCAGUGGCUUAGCCUGCGGCACCACAAUGCCAGCCCCCAGAGCUUUCUCUUCCUCUCCCUGCCUAUUAGGGAUCCUUGUUGUCCCACCUCUCUGA